rnacentral:sRNA from 1 species
UUUAGUACUAUGCAUGAUCUAGGGAUC